rnacentral:rRNA from 1 species
UAGGGAAUAUUGCACAAUGGAGGAAACUCUGAUGCAGCGACGCCGCGUGAGUGAUGAAGGCCUUCGGGUCGUAAAGCUCUGUCGCAGGGGAAUAACACAAUGAAUGUACCCUGCAAGAAAGGAUCGGCUAACUUCGUGCCAGCAGCCGCGGUAAGACGAGGGAUCCUAGCGUUGUUCGGAAUUAUUGGGCGUAAAGCGGGUGUAGGUGGCUUUGUAAGUCAGGUGUGAAAGCCCAGGGCUCAACCCUGGAAGUGCAUUUGAUACUGCGAAGCUUGAGUGUAGGAGAGGUUACUAGAAUUCUUGGUGUAGUGGUGAAAUACGUAGAUAUCAAGAGGAAUACCGGCGGCGAAGGCGGGUAACUGGCCUAACACUGACACUCAGACCCGAAAGCGUGGGGAUCAAACA